UGUUUUUAGCUGCAUGUCUUUUUCUAUCUCACUGAACAAAGUCCCUGCAUGUGAACUGCUUCAGCUGAUAAGGCUGGUUAUGAGUCAGAGGAGGAGCUGCAGACAGGGCGGGAAGUUGAAAGUGAAAGUAUGAAGUCAGACUUGUCAGACUGCCAGACGCCAUUUUACAGCUCGACACGAGGAGAACAACAGGACUGGAGAAGAUGAGUGAUUUAAAAGAUGAGGAAGAGGACACAUCUUCAGUCUCCAGCUGUCUGUCUCUGAAGAGUGACAGGUCUAUGGGUUUGCUUCCUCCAGGCUUCAGUAAUGUACCUGGACCCUCAGACACAAAACAGAGAGCAGAGUCUACGGUCUCCAUGUGGUCUCUGAAGAGUGACCGGUCUAAAGAUCUUCCUCCAGGCUUCAGUAAUGAACCAGGACCCUCAGACACAAAAGGGAAGAGGAAGAGUGGUGUUCCUGUGGAGGAGCAGCUGUCCAGCUGUGCUCUGUGUCAGGACGUCCUGAAGGAUCCAGUCUCUACCAGCUGUGGACACUGGUUCUGCAGACAGUGCAUCACCUCAUACUGGGAGCAGAGACCUCCAUCAGGAGACCCCUCCUGUCCCCAGUGUGGAGAAAGACCCAGAACCAGAGCUGGCCUGCAGACAGCCAGUCAGACCAGCUCUGUACGAGCAGAACGUGGUCUGCAGCAGGUUUUAGAUGAACAUAGGCUCAGUCUGAGGAGGAGAUGUGAACGUGUGACUGAAGGAACUGAUCAAAGUGAAACCCUCCUCAACAGCAUCUUCACUGAGCUCUACAUCACACAAGGCCAGAGUGAAGAGGUUAAUACCCAACAUGAGGUGAGGCAGCUGGAGACAUCUUCCAAGAAAGAGACCCUCCAUGACACUCCAAUCAAGUGCCAGGACAUCUUUAGAGCCUUACCUGACCAACAGACUCUCAUCAGAGCGGUCCUGACCAACGGAGUCGCUGGAGUUGGAAAAACCUUCUCAGUGCAGAAGUUCACUCUGGACUGGGCCGAGGGUUUGGGAAACCAAGAUGUCAGUCUGGUGAUCCCGCUCUCCUUCAGGGAGCUGAACCUGAUCAAAGCUGAGCAGUACAGUCUUCUCAGGCUGCUCCAUGUUUUCCAUCCAACCUUACAGAAGGUCACAGCAGAGCAGCUGGCUGUCUGCAAAGUGCUGCUCAUCUUUGACGGCCUGGAUGAAAGCAGACUUUCUCUGGACUUCAGAAACAGUGAGGUUGUGUCUGAUGUCUCACAGCAGUCCUCAGUCAACGUGCUGCUGACAAACCUCAUCAGGGGGAAGCUGCUUCCCUCGGCUCUCGUCUGGAUAACUUCCAGACCUGCAGCGGCCAAUCAGAUCCCUCCUGAGUGCGUGGACAGGGUAACAGAAGUACGAGGCUUCACUGACGCCCAGAAGGAGGAGUACUUCAGGAGGAGAUCGAGUGAUGAAGACCUGUCCAGCAGAAUCAUCUCUCACAUCAAGAGCUCCAGGAGCCUCCACAUCAUGUGCAUGAUCCCAGUCUUCUGCUGGAUCACUGCUGCAGUUCUGGACCACAUGUUGACUACAGACCAGAGAGGAGAGCUGCCCCAGACCCUCACUGACAUGUACUCACACUUCCUGCUGGUCCAGACCAAGAGGAAGAAGCAGAAGUAUGAAGCGGGACAUGAGACGAGUCCACAGCAGCUGACGGAGGCUGACAGGGAGCUUCUUCUGAAGCUGGGGAGGCUGGCGUUUGAACAGCUAGAGAAAGGAGACAUCAUGUUCUACCAAGAAGACCUGCAGCGCUGUGGUCUUGAUGUCACAGAGGCCUUGGUGCACUCAGGAGUUUGUACAGAGAUCUUCAAAAGAGAGAGUGUGAUCUUUGAGAAAACAGUCUACUGCUUUGUUCAUCUGAGCAUUCAGGAGUUUCUGGCUGCAGUCUACAUGUUCCACUGUUACACCAACAGAGACACAGCGGUACUGAAGGACUUCCUGCAGGGAGACUAUAGCAACAGCAGUGAUCAUGAUUACCCAUCCCUGGAUGUCUUCCUAAAGGGAGCCAUGGCGAAAUCCCUCAGAAGUGAAAAUGGCCACCUGGACCUGUUUGUCCGCUUUCUCCACGGCCUCUCUCUGGAGUCCAACCAGAGACUGUUAGGAGGCCUGCUGUGUCGCACAGACAACAGACCAGGAAUCAUCCAGAGACUCUUCAGAGGCCUGCUGGGUCGCACAGACAACAUACUAACAUUCAUUCAUAGACUGUUAGGAGGCCUGCUGGGUCGCACAGACAACAGACCAGAAACCAUCCAGAGAGCCGUCAGCAACCUGAAGGAGAUGAACAGUGGUGACAUCUCUCCUGACAGGAGCAUCAACAUCUUCCACUGUCUGACAGAGAUGAAGGACCUCUCAGUACAUCAGGAGAUCACAGAGUUCCUGAAGUCAGAGAACAGAUCAGAGAAGGAACUCUCUGUGAUCCACUGCUCUGCUCUGGCCUACAUGCUGCAGAUGUCAGAGGAGGUUCUGGAUGAGUUGGACCUGAACAAGUACAAAACAUCAGAUGAGGGGAAACAGAGACUGAUUCCAGCUGUGAGGAACUGCAGGAAGGCCAAACUCACUAGCUGUGGACUCUCAGAGGCUCACUGUGAAGUCGUGGCCUCAGCUCUGAAGUCUGACCCCUCCCAUCUGAGACAUCUGGACCUGAGUGUCAACGAUCUGCAGGAUUCAGGAGUGGAGCUGCUGAGUUCUGGACUGAAGAGUCCAAACUGCAGACUGGAGGCUCUCAGUCUGAUGGGGCUGCAGUUUGUCAGAGAUCAGCUGUUCUGCUCUGAUCUCAGCUCUGAAGUCCAACCUCCAUCUGAGAGAUCUGGACCUGAGUGACAACGCUCUGAAGGAUUCAGGAGUGGAGCUGCUGAGAGAUCUUCUGGAGAGUCCAGACUGCAGACUGGAGACUCUCAGUCUGAGGCACUGCAGUUUGUCAGAGAUCAGCUGUUCUGCUCUGGCCUCAGCUCUGAAGUCCAACAUCCAUCUGAGAGAUCUGGACCUGAGUUACAACGAUCUGCAGGAUUCAGAGAAGCUGCUGAGAGAUCUUCUGGAGAGUCCAGACUGCAGACUGGAGACCCUCAGGAUCAGAGGAUAUGAGCUGUUCAGAGCCACGAUCCAGAAGACCUGUGACAGGAAGUGAAGACACACAGAAAGAACGAGACGUUCCUGUGUCACCGGUUCACGCGCUUCGUCAUGAAGUACAACCUGAUGUCCAAGGACAACCUGAUCGUGCCCAUCCUGGAGGAGGAGGUGCAGAACACCUCGUCAGCGGGGGAGAGCGAGGCCUAAACACACUGCUGCCACAAAGGGAGACACAUGUAACACACACAUGACAUGAGGAGACACAUCCACACACCUUGCAUACACAGUACACACAUAUAUAAUAUAUAUAUAUACACACUACAGUGUCUACAAUAAGGCUCCUUGUCUCGUAACACUGUCCAUGUCCCUCCACCCUUGUCACCUGUGUCUAUCUCAAAGGAAGUGAGGGGUAGCGGGAGCAGAGUUCAGCCAUGCCUGCAGGACAAGUUGACGUUUUCUAUCCUCCUCCCUCUCGCUCUGUGUGUUCAGAUCCACUCUGGGGGUCUGCGUGCAGCCCCUGCUCUCACACUCCUCCUCCUGGGGAAACCCCUUUUACCUUUAAUGUUCUUUAAGCAGCUGGAUUUGCAAAAAUGUAAUCAUGGUGACCUGUAUUGUUGACAAAGGCACACGCUGACAGCCCCUCCCUCUGUAUAUAACCCCCCCCUCUCUCUUAAUUCACUACCAUCAUGUUUUCUGAUGGUGCUUCACUUUUUCGUGUCUGCUUCUGUUUCUCUGUUCGCUUAUUGUGUUUCCUACCAGCCUGUUUUUCGGGGGGUCGUCCUCUGAAAUGGAUCAAUAAAGUAGCCUGCUGACUUAAAGGGAUAGAUCAGAUUGUGUGUGGGGUUGUCGCAUAUCCAUAGUUCAGGUAUGACCGACAGUAACUGCUCUCUAAAAGCCACCAAACUCCAUCGUCAGAAACCAGUUAUUUUUUACAUCGCUGAACACAGAAGUUUCUCGCCUUCUGCUGCCUCAACUAGUACGGCUUUUUUUGGUGGUAUUUUGUGACUUUAGUGUUUAAAGUAGUUAGUUUGGAUUCACUGACGUCACACGAUUUACACAAAAUAACUAACUGAUAGAGGCAGAAGUAGAACAGCAACGCCUUUUUGUUCUGCGAUUUAUAAAAUCACUGCUUUUAUCGAUGGCGUCUGGCUUUGGCGAGAGCGUCACAAAAAUGCUUUGGGUCCUCGUUUUGACGGCAAGGUUAAGCAGAGGAAAAUAUCGUCAUCUACUGUAGGUAAUACACUUUUAUACAACCCUACUUUAAAACACAAACAUCCCUUUUUAAUGAUGCCAGUGAAGCACGAAACGUAGGUGUGUGUGUGGCUUGUGUGGUAGUGAACAAAGACAAACGUAACCGUGCAGUCAGAUAUUCUUUCUCAUCUCUGAAGUGUUUUUCAGAUCAUUCAGGAACUCUGAUCCUGCUGAGUCGCCCCCAUUUUAAUACCGUGUGAAAUGUGUCGGAUAUUCCCCUUUCCUCGACAGGGCUGGGUCUGAGGGUCACAUGGGACUGAGCUGCUGUAAGCCGGUCUUUCCUAACGCAUUAAGACGAGUAAAAUACAAGGAAAGGAGGAAAUAUCAGAUACAUUUACGUGUCGGAGCACAACCCCCCCCCCCCUUUAUUUUACCCUCCCCCUCAUUAAGUUAUUUUGUGGGAGGAGUCUUGUCAAUCCAAACCCACUUUUUUUUAAUGGACUAAAAUAAUUUUGUUACUGUCGACAUUUUCAUGAUGUCUGUUAAUAAAAAAGAGCUAUUAGUCAGGUGUUUGUGUGGCUGUGUUAUCAUUCAUGGGGCUUUCCAGUGAUGGGUCUGAACCAAAUGUGUGAUUUCCAAUAACUACGGCGUUAAGACCAAAAGUAAAACAAAUAAUACUGGAAAAAUAGGAAUACGCAUUUCCAAAAAAUGACAUGUUUUUGAUUUGUAUUCUGCUUCAAUCCAUAUUUGUUAGGCUAUUUUAAUUUGUGGUUAAGACGUGUCUCUGGCCGCUGAAAGGGAUCCACUGAAGAUUUAUAUUGAAGUUGUUUUAACAGGGUGUCCGCGGGGUCUUAAAAACAGGGUUCGUACGGGUACAUUUCAUGUGGUGUUUUCAAGGUUUGAAAAGUGCUUGGAUUUUGGAGAAAGUGCUUGAAAAUCUACUUGCUUUACUUUUAUAAUAAAUUGAUGUCUGGCUGAA